rnacentral:rRNA from 1 species
GACGUAGGGUCCGAGCGUUGUCCGGAGUUACUGGGCGUAAAGAGCUCGUAGGCGGCUUGUCACGUCGGGUGUGAAAGCCCGGGGCUUAACCCCGGGUCUGCAUUCGAUACGGGCAGGCUAGAGUGUGGUAGGGGAGAUCGGAAUUCCUGGUGUAGCGGUGAAAUGCGCAGAUAUCAGGAGGAACACCGGUGGCGAAGGCGGAUCUCUGGGCCAUUACUGACGCUGAGGAGCGAAAGCGUGGGGAGCGAACAGG